UCCUCCCUCUUUCUUCGUGCUUAACACAUGCAAGUCGAACGGAAAGGCCCUGCUUUUGUGGGGUGCUCGAGUGGCGAACGGGUGAGUAACACGUGAGUAACCUGCCCUUGACUUUGGGAUAACUUCAGGAAACUGGGGCUAAUACCGGAUAGGAGCUCCUGCUGCAUGGUGGGGGUUGGAAAGUUUCGGCGGUUGGGGAUGGACUCGCGGCUUAUCAGCUUGUUGGUGGGGUAGUGGCUUACCAAGGCUUUGCAGGGUAGCCGGCCUGAGAGGGUGACCGGCCACAUUGGGACUGAGAUACGGCCCAGACUCCUACGGGAGGCAGCAGUGGGGAAUAUUGCACAAUGGGCGGAAGCCUGAUGCAGCAACGCCGCGUGCGGGAUGACGGCCUUCGGGUUGUAAACCGCUUUCGCCUGUGACGAAGCGUGAGUGACGGUAAUGGGUAAAGAAGCACCGGCUAACUACGUG
rnacentral:rRNA from 1 species